GACGAACGCUGGCGGCGUGCCUAACACAUGCAAGUCGAACGGGGCAGCAAUGCCCAGUGGCGAACGGGUGCGUAACACGUGAGGAACUUGUCCAUCGGCGGGGGAUAGCCGGCCCAACGGCCGGGUAAUACCGCGUACGUCGGCGAGACCGCAUGGUCUUGCCGGGAAAGCAGCAAUGCACCGAUGGAGAGCCUCGCGGCCUAUCAGCUAGUUGGCGAGGUAAUGGCUCACCAAGGCGACGACGGGUAGCUGGUCUGAGAGGAUGAUCAGCCACAUUGGGACUGAGACACGGCCCAGACUCCUACGGGAGGCAGCAGUGGGGGAAUAUUGCGCAAUGGGCGAAAGCCUGACGCAGCGACGCCGCGUGUGGGAUGACGGCCUUCGGGUUGUAACCACUAGUCGCGAGGGACGAA
rnacentral:rRNA from 1 species